CGGGCGCAUCGGCGCCCGGCGCAUAUAUUGAUUGUUUUAGAAGUGUCCCUGGUGCAAUGGGCUUGCGCAUGCGGCGUUUUCAUUGUUUUGAUCGCGCAUGCGCCGUUUCUUACCGUCCGCUCUCGGAUAAUUCCGAAGCAGUUCGCCAUUAGACUGGUUCCUGUUCGAUUUUGCAAUAGAAGAUUGGUAAUCUUCUAAUAUGUGAAGCUUUGAAAAUAUAUGGCAAAUUAAAACCAGAGAUUUUUUUAAAUAACUCUUUUAGAGAAAAAAUAUCAUAAAUGCACAGUUGUUGAGAAAACUUCUCUUUUUUAUUUAAAUAUUUUUACAUAAAAGAAUAAACCACGAAUGCGCAGAAUGUAUCUAACAAUAAUCUUAGAAAAUCGGUGAACCAGUUUAUUAUCUGAUUACCCGGUUAUGACACGUACGGGUCAGAUGCAAGCGUCCAGUACACUAGGGAUAUCGAGGUCAACACGCUGGCGGUUGGGGAAAGAUAUAGGCGAGUGUGCGAUCAAGGUCAAAAUUGCGAGAGGGUGAUUCGAAGUGAAAUACCGCAACAAAAACGUUCGAUUUGGACAUUAACGCGUCUAACUGAAUGAGUCACAAUGUUUCUACCACAAGAGUUGUAAAUAUUGAACAGAAAGGGCUUCAUCUUCAAGAUGAAAACUGCAAAAAAUGGCCACCAACAAUAAUGGGCCAGGACUGAGGAGUUCCAAGAAAUGAGUAUUCUUCAGCCCACAAAUAUCAGUGCUGCCCCGCUGCCCAAAACCAGAGUGUGGCAACAAGUAAAUGGACCUUGACAAAUGUCCUCUAUGUUUGAGCCAGUCCCUUACACAAGUGGCCUACUUUUGCACAGCUGAGGUUGUUAUCAAACGCAGCAGUAGGUAUGAAAUGCGGAAACUGUUCCAACUUGAUCUUCAACAGUUGAGUUACUCCUCAUCAUAAUACCUGAACUAAAAACAAUCGGUGACGAUCCUGCACUUCACUUCUACCUCACAGUGCUCUUCCCUAUAAACGCUAGAGGAAAGUUUGAAAAUGAAAAACUUGUCAUUGCAAGUGUGAAAGGACCAAUUGAUUCUUAAUGAAACAACCUGCCUCAAUGCUUUAGCUGACACUACAUCAAGUAAACACAAGGCAAUUUGUUUUUCUCGCAACCUGACCGGUAUGUUGAAUCUGAUCAAAAUUGUACACAACCACUGGUCAAGA